rnacentral:misc_RNA from 1 species
CAACCCUCAAGCUCCGGCUUGGUGUUGGGGAUCGGCAGCCCGGCUUCACGCCGUCGCCGUCCCCCAAAUGCAGUGGCGGUCACGCUGUAGCCUCCUAUGCGUAGUAGCACACCUCGCACUGGAAAGUAGCGCGGCCACGCCGUAAAACCCCCAACUUUUUGU